rnacentral:rRNA from 1 species
CGACCGGCCACACUGGAACUGAGACACGGUCCAGACUCCUACGGGAGGCAGCAGUGGGGAAUAUUGCACAAUGGGCGAAAGCCUGAUGCAGCGACGCCGCGUGAGGGACGACGGCCUUCGGGUUGUAAACCUCUUUCAGCAGGGACGAAGCGAAAGUGACUGUACCUGCAGAAGAAGCACCGGCUAACUACGUGCCAGCAGCCGCGGUAAUACGUAGGGUGCAAGCGUUGUCCGGAUUUAUUGGGCGUAAAGAGCUCGUAGGCGGUUUGUCGCGUCGGAUGUGAAAACCUAUGGCUUAACCAUGGGCCUGCAUUCGAUACGGGCAAACUAGAGUUCGGUAGGGGAGACUGGAACUCCUGGUGUAGCGGUGAAAUGCGCAGAUAUCAGGAAGAACACCGGUGGCGAAGGCGGGUCUCUGGGCCGAUACUGACGCUGAGGAGCGAAAGCGUGGGGAGCAAACAGGAUUAGAUACCCUGGUAGUCCACGCCGUAAACGUUGGGCGCUAGGUGUGGGGAACCUUCCACGUUCUCCGUGCCGUAGCUAACGCAUUAAGCGCCCCGCCUGGGGAGUACGGCCGCAAGGCUAAAACUCAAAGGAAUUGACGGGGCCCGCACAAGCGGCGGAGCAUGCGGCUUAAUUCGAUGCACGCGAAGAACCUUACCUGGGC